rnacentral:lncRNA from 1 species
CUGGUCUUGAACUCAAAACCUCAGGUGAUCCGCCCGCCUCGACCUCCCAAAGUGCUGGGAGUACAGGUGUGAGCCACCACGCCCAGCUGGAACUGCGUUUCUUUUUGGGGUGAUGUAAAUGUUCUGAAAUUAGAUAGUGGUGAUGGUUCCACAGCUUCGUUAAUACACAAAAAACUCUGAAUUAUAUGCUUUUUUUGAGAUGGGGUCUCACUCUGUCACUCAGGCUGCAGUGCAGUGGCAUGAUCACAGCUCACCACAUCCUUGAUCUCCUGAGCUCAGGUGUUCUUCCCACCUCAGUCUCCUGAGUAGCUGGGACUACAGGUACACACCACCACACCUGGUUAAUUUAUGUAUUUUUUUUUGUAGAAAUGGAGUCUCACCAUUUUGCCCAGUACUUGGAUCUGAAUUGUACACUUAGGGUGACUUUUAUAAUAUGUAAAUGAUAUCUCAAUUAAAAAUUAUAUAUGUGGCUUACAUUAUAUUUUAUUGGACAACAUUAUUCUAGACUAUGAACCCUGAAGCCAGGUGCCAAGAGGUACCAUGAUAAAGUCUCUACAUAGUGAUUCCACAGCACAGGGCCUGGGCUCCAGUUCUACCCCAUAGACCCCAGACCGCUUGUUCCUUCCCUGGCAUCUGAGGAGCUAUGGCGUGGGGCUUUCUCAGACUGGCUCUGUGACUUUUUAGAGAUGGCAGAAGCAUCACCCACCUUAUUCCCCAGGUCCAGGACACUCUUGAUACUGGCAGACAAGCCCUUCUUCCUGGUGCUGGAGGAAGAUGGCACAACUGUAGAGACAGAAGAGUCCUUCUUUCCAAGCUCUGGCAGGCGGUACAGUGUUCCUGGUCCUCCAGAAGGGGCAGAAAUGAGAGCCCCCAUCAGAACAGGGGAUGAGGCACCCACUGUCUCUCUCCCAUAAGCUUGCCAGGAAGAUGGAUGUGGCCCGCAUAACCUUUGACCUGAACAAGCUGAGCCCAUAGGACUUCAUCAGCUGCCUGAACAUGAAGGUGACUUUCUAUGAUGUGUACUCCCUUUCCUAUGAUCUAUACUUCAUGAGGCUGAGUGCAUGGUGAGUGAAUUGGGAUUUGCUGGGGACACCUCCAUGACACCCUCCAUCCCAUCCUAUCUCUUUAGUCAUUUGGACUCAUCUGAUCUGGAUUGGUCUUUGAUUUGUCUGUGCACUCCCACUAGAGUGUCAACUCCUGGAGGACUGGAAUCCCAUUAGCCCUGCUCAUCCCUGUAUCAUCCUUGUAUCACACCUAGUGACAGCUUGGCAUAUUGAGGGUGCUCAGUGCAUGUUGGUUGAGUGAGUAGCUGACGGCACCAGGACAAGGAGCAAAUCUUGAAGCUGAGGGGAAUCCCAAAUCCUAUCUUCAGACAGACCUUGUUCCUUUCUGGCACAGGUGAAAUGGAGCCUGGGGAGGAGGUGAUGGGAGGAGGAAAAAUGCCACCAUGGAUUCUGUUACACAGAAGCCAGUGGGUAUACCAUCUCCCACCCAAACAGGGAAGCAGCUCCAAGUAGCCCUGGCGACAGUGGCCACAUGACUUCAACCUGGCCAAUCAGAAGAGCCCAACCUACCCAGCCACAGUGAUUAGCUAAAGUCUGGGCAUGUGACCAAUCAGGUGGCAAGGGUCAGGGCAAGGGUUGGUAGCAGGGGAGAGAAGGUCUAUUUCUGUUGGGUGGCUGGGGCUGUGGGUGCCAUCCUGUCACCUUGAAGGGAAAGCCCACCUGAGCACGACAUCCACACUGAGGGAAGGACACAGAGUCAGAGGUUGGGAGAGAGUCCAGGUGACAUUAUUGAGCACCCAGGUGCAGCCAAGGUACAGUUACCCCAGAACAUUCUCACUGGGAUCCAGGUGGCUGUGAAGGUCACCUACAGAGGUCAGCAGAGCUCCUCCAGCCUCUGGAGUUGAUAGCUGUGAAGUUGAUAUAAUGAGGACCCCAAAUCACCCAAUCUCAACCAGUUCCUUCCAGUGACUGCCAUCAUGGGCACUCUACACCGAGUCAUGUAGCAUGCCAGCUGGGACAGCUACUUCACUACAUCCUAGAGCCCCACCAAAAGCAGGAGGAAGAGGCCUGAGGCAAGUUCCGGCAAAUACUAUCUGCCCUACAGUACCACCACCAAAAUAAACAUUUCUA